rnacentral:rRNA from 1 species
GUCCACGCCGUAAACGAUGAGAACUAGAUGUUGGGGGUUGCCUCCCGGUGUCGCAGCUAACGCGUUAAGUUCUCCGCCUGGGGAGUACGCCGGCAACGGUAAAACUCAAAGGAAUUGACGGGACCCGCACAAGCGGUGGAGCAUGUGGUUUAAUUCGAUGCAACGCGAAGAACCUUACCUGCCCCUUGACAUACUCGGAACUUUCCAGAGAUGGAUUGGUGCCUUCGGGAGCCGAGAUACAGGUGCUGCAUGGCUGUCGU